rnacentral:rRNA from 1 species
GUAGGGGACAAGCGUUAUCCGGAUUUACUGGGCGUAAAGCGCCCGUAGGCGGCCUAUCAAGUUGGAUGUGAAAGCUCCCGGCUUAACUGGGAGAGGUCAUUCAAAACUGGCAGGCUAGAGGAUGGAAGAGGAGAGCGGAAUUCCCGGUGUAGUGGUGGAAUGCGUAGAGAUCGGGAGGAACACCAGUGGCGAAAGCGGCUCUCUGGUCCGUACCUGACGCUGAGGGGCGAAAGCGUGGGGAGCGAACGGGAUUAGAUACCCCGGUAGUCCACGCUGUAAACGAUGGAUACUAGGUGUAGGCGGUCAUUAACCCCGUCUGUGCCGCAGCCAACGCGUUAAGUAUCCCGCCUGGGGAGUACGGCCGCAAGGUUAAA